GGGUGGUAAUGCCGGAUGCUCCGACUCCUCGCAUGGGGUGUCGGGAAAGAUUUCAUCGGUAUGGGAUGGGGUCGCGUCCUAUCAGGUAGUCGGCGGGGUAACGGCCCACCGAGCCUACGACGGGUAGCCGGCCUGAGAGGGCGACCGGCCACAUUGGGACUGAGAUACGGCCCAGACUCCUACGGGAGGCAGCAGUGGGGAAUAUUGCACAAUGGGCGCAAGCCUGAUGCAGCGACGCCGCGUGCGGGAUGACGGCCUUCGGGUUGUAAACCGCUUUUGAUCGGGAGCAAGCCUUCGGGUGAGUGUACCUUUCGAAUAAGCACCGGCUAACUACGUGCCAGCAGCCGCGGUAAUACGUAGGGUGCAAGCGUUAUCCGGAAUUAUUGGGCGUAAAGGGCUCGUAGGCGGUUCGUCGCGUCCGGUGUGAAAGUCCAUCGCUUAACGGUGGAUCUGCGCCGGGUACGGGCGGGCUGGAGUGCGGUAGGGGAGACUGGAAUUCCCGGUGUAACGGUGGAAUGUGUAG
rnacentral:rRNA from 1 species